rnacentral:rRNA from 1 species
AGUGAACGCUGGCGGUAGGCCUAACACAUGCCAGUCGAACGGCAGCACAGUAAGAGCUUGCUCUUACGGGUGGCGAGUGGCGGACGGGUGAGGAAUACAUCGGAAUCUACUUUUUCGUGGGGGAUAACGUAGGGAAACUUACGCUAAUACCGCAUACGACCUACGGGUGAAAGCAGGGGAUCUUCGGACCUUGCGCGAUUGAAUGAGCCGAUGUCGGAUUAGCUAGUUGGCGGGGUAAAGGCCCACCAAGGCGACGAUCCGUAGCUGGUCUGAGAGGAUGAUCAGCCACACUGGAACUGAGACACGGUCCAGACUCCUACGGGAGGCAGCAGUGGGGAUAUUGGACAAUGGGCGCAAGCCUGAUCCAGCCAUACCGCGUGGGUGAAGAGGGCCUUCGGGUUGUAAAGCCCUUUUGUUGGGAAAGAAAAGCAGCAGGUUAAUACCCCGCUGUUCUGACGGUACCCAAAGAAUAAGCACCGGCUAACUUCGUG